GACGAACGCUGGCGGCGUGCUUAACACAUGCAAGUCGAACGGAAAGGCCUGCUUUCCCUUGUGGAUUGCGGGUACUCGAGUGGCGAACGGGUGAGUAACACGUGAGUGAUCUGCCCCCAACUUGGGUAUAAGCCUGGGAAACUGGGUCUAAUUCCCGAUAGGACUGCAGGGUGGUGCCUGUGGUGGAAAACGAUUUUCUAGUGGUUGGGGAUGAGCUCGCGGCCUAUCAGCUUGUUGGUGGGGUAAUGGCCUACCAAGGCGGCGACGGGUAGCCGGCCUGGGAGGGUGGACGGCCACAUUGGGACUGAGAUACGGCCCAGACUCCUACGGGAGGCAGCAGUGGGGAAUAUUGCACAAUGGGCGGAAGCCUGAUGCAGCGACGCCGCGUGGGGGAUGACGGCCUUCGGGUUGGAAACUCCUUUCGACCGCGAGGAAGCCACCUGGUUGGAAGGGUGGUGACGGUAGUGGUAGAAGAAGCACCGGCUAACUACGU
rnacentral:rRNA from 1 species